rnacentral:rRNA from 1 species
GUAGUGGCGAACGGGUGAGUAACGCGUAAUCAACCUGCCCUUCAGAGGGGGACCACAGUUGGAAACGACUGCUAAUACCUCCUACUGAAGGAGGGGAUUUCGUAUGAUUGGCUAGUUGGAGGGGUAACGGCCCACCAAGGCGAGUAUCAGUAGCCGGGCGGCGAGGAUGAACGGCAAUAUUGGGACUGAGACACGGCCCAGACUCCUACGGGAGGCAGGAGGGGGGAAUCUUCCGCAAUGGACGAAAGUCUGACGGAGAAACGCCGCGUGAGUGAUGACGGCCUUCGUGUUGUAAAGCUCUGUUAAUCGGGACGCGGUACCGGAAUAGAAAGCCACGGCUAACUACGUGCCAGCAGCCGCGGUAAUUC